UACGUAGGGUGCGAGCGUUAAUCGGAAUUACUGGGCGUAAAGCGUGCGCAGGCGGUUUUGUAAGCCAGAUGUGAAAUCCCCGGGCUUAACCUGGGAAUGGCAUUUGGGACUGCAAGGCUGGAGUGUGGCAGAGGAGACUGGAAUUCCUGGUGGUAGCAGUGAAAUGCGUAGAUAUCAGGAGGAACACCGAUGGCGAAGGCAGGUCUCUGGGCUGACACUGACGCUCAUGCACGAAAGCGUGGGGAGCAAACAGG
rnacentral:rRNA from 1 species